GAUGAACGCUAGCUACAGGCUUAACACAUGCAAGUCGAGGGGCAGCAUUUCAGUUUGCUUGCAAACUGGAGAUGGCGACCGGCGCACGGGUGAGUAACACGUAUCCAACCUGCCGAUAACUCGGGGAUAGCCUUUCGAAAGAAAGAUUAAUACCCGAUGGUAUAAUCAGACCGCAUGGUCUUGUUAUUAAAGAAUUUCGGUUAUCGAUGGGGAUGCGUUCCAUUAGGCAGUUGGUGAGGUAACGGCUCACCAAACCUUCGAUGGAUAGGGGUUCUGAGAGGAAGGUCCCCCACAUUGGAACUGAGACACGGUCCAAACUCCUACGGGAGGCAGCAGUGAGGAAUAUUGGUCAAUGGGCGCAGGCCUGAACCAGCCAAGUAGCGUGAAGGAUGACUGCCCUAUGGGUUGUAAACUUCUUUUAUAUGGGAAUAAAGUUUUCCACGUGUGGAAUUUUGUAUGUACCAUAUGAAUAAGGAUCGGCUAACUCCGUGCCAGCAGCCGCGGUAAUACGGAGGAUCCGAGCGUUAUCCGGAUUUAUUGGGUUUAAAGGGAGCGUAGGUGGACAGUUAAGUCAGUUGUGAAAGUUUGCGGCUCAACCGUAAAAUUGCAGUUGAUACUGGCUGUCUUGAGUACAGUAGAGGUGGGCGGAAUUCGUGGUGUAGCGGUGAAAUGCUUAGAUAUCACGAAGAACUCCGAUUGCGAAGGCAGCUCACUGGACUGCAACUGACACUGAUGCUCGAAAGUGUGGGUAUCAAACAGGAUUAGAUACCCUGGUAGUCCACACAGUAAACGGUGAAUACUCGCUGUUUGCGAUAUACAGUAAGCGGCCAAGCGAAAGCAUUAAGUAUUCCACCUGGGGAGUACGCCGGCAACGGUGAAACUCAAAGGAAUUGACGGGGGCCCGCACAAGCGGAGGAACAUGUGGUUUAAUUCGAUGAUACGCGAGGAACCUUACCCGGGCUUAAAUUGCAUUUGAAUAUAUUGGAAACAGUAUAGCCGUAAGGCAAAUGUGAAGGUGCUGCAUGGUUGUCGUCAGCUCGUGCCGUGAGGUGUCGGCUUAAGUGCCAUAACGAGCGCAACCCUUAUCUUUAGUUACUAACAGGUCAUGCUGAGGACUCUAGAGAGACUGCCGUCGUAAGAUGUGAGGAAGGUGGGGAUGACGUCAAAUCAGCACGGCCCUUACGUCCGGGGCUACACACGUGUUACAAUGGGGGGUACAGAAGGCAGCUACCUGGUGACAGGAUGCUAAUCCCAAAAGCCUCUCUCAGUUCGGAUCGAAGUCUGCAACCCGACUUCGUGAAGCUGGAUUCGCUAGUAAUCGCGCAUCAGCCAUGGCGCGGUGAAUACGUUCCCGGGCCU
rnacentral:rRNA from 1 species